rnacentral:rRNA from 1 species
GACGAACGCUGGCGGCGUGCUUAACACAUGCAAGUCGUACGGUAAGGCCCUUUCGGGGGUACACGAGUGGCGAACGGGUGAGUAACACGUGAGUAACCUGCCCACAACUUUGGGAUAACGCUAGGAAACUGGUGCUAAUACUGGAUAUGUGCUCCUGCUGCAUGGUGGGGGUUGGAAAGCUCCGGCGGUUGUGGAUGGACUCGCGGCCUAUCAGCUUGUUGGUGGGGUAGUGGCCUACCAAGGCGGCGACGGGUAGCCGGCCUGAGAGGGUGACCGGCCACAUUGGGGCUGGGAUACGGCCCAGACUCCUACGGGAGGCAGCAGUGGGGAAUAUUGCACAAUGGGCGCGAGCCUGAUGCAGCAACGCCGCGUGCGGGAUGACGGCCUUCGGGUUGUAAACCGCUUUCAGCAGGGACGAAGCUUUUUGUGACGGUACCUGCAGAAGAAGCACCGGCUAACUACGUG